GUCAACAAAUCACCCCAAACCCUCCUCCGAAUACACGUUAACCUUGGAGCAUAUACAUUCACUAUAUUAAUAACAUCCUCUGAACCGCAUAAAUUCCCUGACACUACAAGAAAUGACCUUGAUUUGAACACAUCCGUGACAAUAAAGGCAGCAGGGUUCCAGCAGGAAACCAGAACCCCCCCCCCCCCCCCCCCCAAACGCGCACAAGGAUCGACAAUCUCCAUCCCACGUUUAGCAUUACCCCAAAAUCUCUAAAUAGAUUCCAUUGAAAGUCCUGAAAUCUGCGUAUCCUGUAAACACACAAAUGUUACCUUGUACUACCUACUCCUCGAAUAUUGGUCGAUAAUAAAUUCAUGAUGCUCCGGUCUUCUCCAGCUCACCCCUAACCACAGACUUCGUCUGCCUCUAAAAGUUAUCCAAGAUUAUUCCCACUUUCUAACCAACAUUCAAAGUUGCUUAUGUUUCUUUUUGGAUCUCCAUCACUUGACUAGAAACCACUAGAUCGCCAGUUCAAUCUAACUCGAUAUUAAGAUCGAACUCAUAAAAAAAAACUUCAUCGAACCCUCCCCUAUAGCUGCCUUCCUCCGAUUAGAAAGAAUUCCAUCUUCGCCUGUUUUAGGUUUUUUGGCAGAGAACUUCUCCCGAGGGAUAAAAGUGCAAGGAGAACCCUUUUUUCUGUUCUUGGUGUUGACUUUAUGACUCCCUUUCCACAUCAUCUCAGCAAUAUGAAAUGGGUCUGAUUCAACUCCAUCAGAGGCCUCACAAGAAUUAGAAAGUUUUCUGGGCUUACCACCCUUGUGAGGCUUCUUAAAAGAUUGACCAACUUUUGCAGUAACUGGCCCAGGCCCACUUUAUAUAUGCACCCCUGAAUCCUCAACCUUCACAUAAAAAGGAACGAUACCUUGGGACUGUCACACCCCGACCCGCAACAGAUUGGUACAGAGCAUGAGGAUUGUCCAUAGCUUAUGACACUAAUAUAUAUUUAAAGUCACCAAAUUAAUUUGUCACAUAUAAUCAUAGAAAUGUUCAUCAAAAGUCAUACAAUAUCCAUAAGAUAACUUAUCAUGAACAAAUAUUCAAUGCAUUAUUAAGGCACAUCCUAUGUGUUUU
rnacentral:lncRNA from 1 species